CCGAUAUGAUGAGCAAACAUGAAGAAUUCUGCAAUUCGGACAGUCUCCUAAUUCACUGUGAGAUUGGAUGUUGACUCUUCUACACUUGAUCUGAUC
rnacentral:snoRNA from 1 species